GGGCACACGCCAGGAAAUCAAAAGGUGCAAAGGUGCCCGUUCGAAAGCUCUGGCGGCGUGCGCAGAGAUUGCGUCAUUCAAGAAGAAAUGGAGCUCUCUCCUCUGAUGGCCGAAGACAGGCUCAUGUUCUGGCUGACGUGCAUGUUUUUUGAAUACACAAUUGAAAAUUGAC